AAACAUCGCCUCUUGUAACUAUAAGAGGUCCAGCCUGCCCAGUGACUUAUGUUAAACGGCCGCGGUAUACUAACCGUGCAAAGGUAGCGCAAUCACUUGUCCCCUAAAUAGGGACUUGUAUGAAUGGCAUCACGAGGAUUUAACUGUCUCCUUUUUCCAAUCAGUGAAACUAAUCUUCCUGUGAAAAAGCAGGAAUAAUCAUAUAAGACGAGAAGACCCUAUGAAGCUUUAAACAUAUAACAAAUGCCCCCCAACACUUUUCCUGAAACUCAACCAACAGCACAUUGAUUAUAAGUUUUUGGUUGGGGUGACCACGGAGAAAAAUUAAACCUCCGCACUGCCUAAUCUAAAUUUAAAACUAAAAGUUACAACUUUAAUACUCAACAAAUUGACACAAUUGAUCCAAAUAUUUGAUCAAUGAACUAAGUUACUCUAGGGAUAACAGCGCAAUCCACUUCAAGAGCACAUAUCGACAAGUGGGCUUACGACCUCGAUGUUGGAUCAGGGUAUCCUAGUGGUGCAGCCGCUACUAAAGGUUCGUUUGUUCAACGAUUAAAACCCUACGUGAUC
rnacentral:rRNA from 1 species